rnacentral:rRNA from 1 species
CCUACGGGGGGCAGCAGUGAGGAAUAUUGGUCAAUGGCCGAGAGGCUGAACCAGCCAAGUCGCGGGAGGGAAGACGGCCCUACGGGUUGUAAACCUCUUUUGUCGGGGAGCAAAGAGAGGCACGUGUGACUCAUUGAGAGUACCCGAAGAAAAAGCAUCGGCUAACGCCGUGCCAGCAGCCGCGGUAAUACGGAGGAUGCGAGCGUUAUCCGGAGUUAUUGGGUUUAAAGGGUGCGUAGGCGGACUGUUAAGUCAGCGGUAAAAGCCCGGGGCUCAACCCCGGCGAGCCGUUGAAACUGGCUGUCUUGAGCUGUCUAGAGGUAUGCGGACUGCGCCUUGUAGCGGU